rnacentral:misc_RNA from 1 species
AACGCACAUUGCGCCCUCUGGUAUUCCGGAGGGCAUGCCUGUUUGAGCGUCAGUUCUCUCUCAAACCUUUGGUUUGGUUUUGGGCGCGUAUGCACCUUUCUGGGUGCAUUCGCCUGAAAUAGAUUGGCAAGGCGUUUUCUGUCUUAUCAGCGUACUAGGUUUUACCGUCGUUGUUUUAGCAGAAAAAAAGCUGGGCCUUAGAACACUAACUUUUUAAGUUUGACCUCAAAUCAGGUAGGGAUACCCGCUGAACUUAA